UAUAUAUAUUUAGUAAGUAUACCUUGGUGACAGCCAUGUUAUCAUACUCCUCUUAACUUCUCUCUCUUCCACACGUUGAAUGACUUACUGAUUUAUUUCUCCACAUAUACAAUACUUGGCUCCUAUUUAGUGUGCAAUAGAUCUUUGUUAUCAAAUCUGCUCCCUCCUACUUCAGGUAACUUUGAUGAUUACUUAAACUGUACUUCCCUGACUAACUUCUCUUUCCUUUCCACUUUAGACUACCAGUGGGCAAAUUUUAAUGUUUUACAAUUCAGGUUAUAAUUUUUACACUCAGCCUAAUAGUUAAGAAAUUUAAGAAAGGUAAAUUGGGUCACUUGGUACUUUCUCAUAUAAGGAAAACAAACUGCUGGGGUGCCUCAGUGUUGCUUCUGGAGGAACUUUCCAGAGCAUGAAGCAAGUCAGUACUAACUCUUAGAAUGAAUGAUGUGAGUCUCUCCAGUCCUGUGAUGUCAACCUGCUAUCUUGCCAGGCUUGAAGAAGUUUGCAUUAGGGUGAAUAGGUACCAUCUUUGUGGAGAUGCCUGGUCAGGGCCUUGUUAUGUCACACGUAAGGGCGAUUUUAGUGUUAAUUUGCACAUCUCAAAAGAGUUUAGGCUUAGAGUUUCAAAGAAAUGCACGAAUCCUUCAAAUCUCAGUUCUCAUCUAUGUUAUGAAAGAAAUAUCACUCUUCUUUUAAAAGAUCAUAAAAUUAUCCCAAAUCACCAGAUCCAAAUGCAGAACAACACAGUCCGUAGUUACCACGAGGAAUAGGGUUAAAAUUCGCUCUCCAGUGACAAAUCCCAACCCGGAACAGAUUUCAGCCAGGCAGUGAGCAGAGCGCGCCGGGUGAACUGCACAGGCCAUGGUGGGUGCAGAGCUCAGAGCCGGAAAGCAAACAGCUGCUGUAGCCUGAUUUGAGUUAAAAUAGUGUGAGUGUUUAGUCUGGCGCACGGCUUCAGGGGAGAUUGGCAGCUGGGUCAAACAAAGUCCUUCCAUUGGCUCUCUUCCCAGGCAGCUUCUGCUAGUAUUUAGGUACUAGUGCAGUGUAGGGCCCUUUUCUCAGGCAAAAGCUAACAUCUGACCGCACCCUCUUUGCUUUUUCCAAAAAAAAAAAAAAAAAGAAGAAAAAGAAAAAGAAAAAAAAAAAAAACCUUCUUUCUUUCUCCUUCUUUCGUUAAGAUAAAUUCUCCAAUAGACAACCUCUCCCACUAAUUGUGUAUUAGCAAUGUAUUUUAUCUUGAGAGCUGACGCACUGGGCUCUCAACGUGGUGUGGAAAGCAGCCUGUUACAGUGCUGGAUUCAUAAAAGGGCCUUUAUGGCUUGUGAAAGAAUAUCUGUGUGCUUAGGCAGGAAACUUUUUGAUCUGCAGAAAAGCCAGAAGACAUCUAGGUAAGGCUACAUAUCAAAUCUACUUUUGGGGGGAAAAGUUGGGCGGUGAGAAUGAUUCCUCACCAUCGACGUGACUUUGGAGUGUGCAUGUUCACUUUUGUAGAAGUUUAAAAGGGUAUCCUUGAAGAUUAAUCAGAGACCUUUCCACGCACCUAUAAAGAGUCUGCUUAAAGUAAUAGUGAAAGAUUGAAUUCACUAUACUUUUGUUAGAAAAUCUGGAAAUGUUCGUCCAUGGACACUUUCGUCGCCUGCUAAAAUGGAAAUUCACUGGGAAGGGGGUGAGCAUUUCAUUUUAUUGCCUAAGAGGUGUCGAUAACAUGCCCUAAAUCUUUCCAAGGUAUCUUUCAUGCCAAACAGGCAAACUAGCUAGCGAAGGAACAGAAAGACCACUUCUUACAUGAGUCAUUCUCAGCAAACUUGCACAGCAGCUGUGCUAGGUACUGAUGAGGAUUACCACAGAACCCAGUUGCAAGAUUUUAUGUGGUCGAGGAGACAACUGCCUCUCCCAGGGGACUGCUUCGAAGGGGGUUGCAGCAAUAAUGCAUCCCUACUGUUGCGGGUGGAUUUUGUGGCCACGGAGUAUAAAAUCAGUGCCAGAUAAAAUCAGAAAGUAAUAGAAAGUGAGAAGAAUCUCACGGAUUUUAAACCUUAAUGUGAGAGACUACAACAAAUGUCCUGAGCUUGUUGCAUUUACUAGUUAGGAAAAGGAGAGAGAGGAAGGGAUGCGUUUAACUCCGAAAACUUGCAGGGCUUCGGUCUUUUCAUUUGAGAACCGUUUGGGUGUGUUGUGAAAUCAAGUUGCAGAGUAGGCAUGUUCAGACCUUUUUUUGCUACAGUUAGUAGGAAAGAUCCCCCCCCCCCACCUUAAAUAAAAGAAGCCAGAGUUUUCUGUGCAAACUGAAACAGGCGUUGCAAGAAUCAGAUUCACUUUGGACGAGUCUUCACAUUCCAAGUCAUCAUUGCAUUAGGCAGCACAAUUCCAUCUCUGGUUGAUGGGCAGAAAAAGUGGGCAGCUUGCCAGGUAGACGUUUCCAUGACUCCCAGCCCCCAAAGGUGAUGCGUUUUUCAGCUAAUUCAAUGAAGAGUGGGCUGAACUUUGGGUCUAAACGAGACAAUAGCUGCCUUCGCAGUAUCAGCAGAAUGGUUGAUGGGAAUGCACUCUACAUUUGGCAGAGAAUCAUGUGACCUUACGACUGAGAUUUUGUGAUGGUGCCAACGGAGACUUGGAAAGCAGCAACCGUCCUGACUUUUUUCUUCUUUUCUAGCAUGGCUCAGAAAAUGGUGGAUCUUAAUACUUGACUUUAGCCAGACUCAGCAAGCGACUGAGCUUUGAAGCACAACUUCGCCUUUAUUCUGGGUUUUUGGCAGGCCACCAGGAGGCUGUCCCUUUCACGCCUGAUAAAUUCUGCUGCUUAUCUCUAAAUAGGAAAAAAAAAAAAAAAAAGAAAAAUAUAAACAGAAUAUUGAGGCAUAACAAGUGAAUCCUAAAAUUGUAUGUGCUUUUUGUUUUUUGGCUUUUCUUACUGCUGAUUUUUUUAAAUGUUAAUACCCUUUCUGCUUGCUGAAGAAUCCAAGUACUUUUUUUUUUUUUUUUUGGUUUAUAAUGAACAGGCAUUUGAACAGGGCAAACAGGACGGCCGCAGCAGUGAGCAUGAGAUCAUUGCAGCCGUGUAGCAAGCUGGCACCCUGCCUUCUCACCCUUUUGGUUCAGGAGACAAACGUGUGCAAUCCUCAUUUCUAAAGUCAGCUCAGCCUGGAAGGAUUCCUGGUCUCUCCCACCUUCUACCAUUCUGCUGCCAGGGACAGCAAGGAUUGGUGCAGUUUCUGCGCAGUGCUUUGUGCCUGGAAUACGGAGAAGGAAGAAAAAGAAGACAAGCACCCUGGUCCUUUUUUCCAAGAAAUAACAGGAGCCCCGAAGAAAAAAAAAAAAUCUUGAGUUUGUCCUACUCCAUGCAACAGUGCUGAAAAAUAUGAGACGCUCCUGCUCAAAAACAAAAACAAAAACAAACAAACAAAAAUCCAAACCAAAACAAACCAAAAAAAAAGCAAACAUUGGCUUGUAUACCUACAGAGACAUCGGGCUUUGUAAAGCAGCUUUGUAAGGCAACAUAACCAAAUGAGCCUUCCUUAUUUUUAUUAUUUCAAAAAUAUGGCAUAAUUAGCAAUAUAUUGCACUUGGUGAAAUCGCACCUUUCAUAUCAGGGAAAAACUUAAAAUGGAUAUGAGAAGUGAAGAAAGUGAUCAUAGGAGAAAAUCAUCUCAGAUCAACCACUUCAGAAGAACCAGAAUCCACUUCUGUGGCCAGGACUGUUAUGUUAUGGCUGGUCCGAUUGUUAUACCCUGCGUUCUAUGCUACUAAACCUUGGAUCAUUCCUAAAGUACCAAUUCUGUUCUUGAACCACAAACAAGGCUAAAAGAUCGGAGGAAAUUCAGUGAAUAUACAGGAUUGGGAUUGUGUAUUUUCAAAAGUAUUGAGCUUUAUAAUGCAAUUAUUUAAGAAAUAGAAUCUUUUAUUUUUCUUCUCAUGUUGCCAGCAUUUUAAGUUACAUGUUUAUUAAGUGGCAUUGCUCAAAUAGCUACAGAGUAUGCAUGGAAAUAUUUGCUGUCUGAAUAGUUUGGAGAUUUAAAGAGAAAAAUCAAGCUUCGGAGGUAUUAAAUUAUGACAUGCAAAAAAGUUUUUGUUUUAUUCUUAACUGCAACAGUAUAUAUUGAAAUCAGAUUUAAAGUGUGAUAUGUCCUUGGCCCACCUUAACAGUUGUACUGUAUAGAAGUGUAAUGGGAAGCAAAAUUUCAAUUAGGGUCCCAUUAACUGGCAUAUAAUCCUUCUUUAACGUAAUAGAGGCUAUGGUGUUGCUGUACAAAUCUGCUAGAAACAGAUUUUAACCCAUUUUUAGUCUCUUUCUUUGGAUCUGAUGGAAUGACUCUUAACUGUUCAUUGUCUGCACUGUUUCUCAUAUUCUUCAUUAUUUUAAGGUCUGGAAUUAGUCUGUAAAUGGUCGUCCUGAAUAUUCAGCUAAUCCUAACUUUUAUAUAUCAUAUAUAUUUCUACGUAUGUAUUUUAAUUAGUAUUUAAAGGAAAAAGUUUAACUGAACCCAACUGUAAUUUCUAAGCUAGCCUUAUUACUGGAAGAAGAAUUCUACCGCAUCAAACCAGACUUUUCCUAGUCCCUGAGACCCUAACUUGUGAGGUAUUUUAGUAACAUCACAAGUCAGGCUCUUGGGACCUAGGCGGAGGGGAACCAGCAGCUUUGGACCUUAUUGAUUGUCUGCAGUUACCACCAGAACAAAAGAACAUACAUAGAUUCUGCCUAGGAGAAAAGAACAAUGCUCUUCUUUAUAAUCAGCAAUGUUUUCAUCAUGACCCAUCCCCAAAAAUACUAUUUUCAGAAACUGUACUCAAAAGUGAUUACGGAGUUGCACUGAAUAGGAUUUGUAUUAUAUUAUAACAACCAUAUAAAAGCAGUAUAAGAUAACUAUGUAAGAAGCAAAGUUAAAAUACAGGUGUUUUUAAAAUGCUUCUUUUGAUGUAUUUUACGGUGGCUAGUCUAAGAGAAUAUACCUCCUUAUAAUAAUGAAGAGAGUGGCUUAUAUUUCUAACUUCGUUCAUAUGCAUAGAAAUAUAUACAUUAGCUUCUUAAAUAAAUCCUGUAUGUCUCCAUGUAACUGUGGCUCAGAAUAUGUAAUGUAUAACUAUAAUCAUGCUCGAGGCCUAGAGAUAAAUCAUUUACAAUCUUCUUUACUGACCCUAUUAGAUUUUACUACUGAUUUAAGAAGAAUGCUAUUUUAUACUUGGUAUUUAUUGCCAGAGUUUUCCUUAGUCUUUUAACCAGACAAAAUACUUUAUAUGUCCUAUUACAAUAAGACAUUCUCUUGUCGUAAGAGUUAUCAAUAAUUAGCAAAAAUAUGGUACCUUUUAGUCUUUACAUUUUCCUUCGUAUAUAUCGUGGACCUAAGUGAGAUAAAUCAAUAAACACCACCUAUGAAGUCAGACUGCUCAAGUUCACCUAUCAACUGAAUCUGAGCUGCAUAGUUUUAGUUUUAUAAGAAUUUUAGUUUUAUAAACUAUUCCAACUAUAAGUAAUGUGUCCUAUUUGAACAUUGUUAGACAUUGCCACAUCAAAUAUUUAUUUCUUGUAAGUAGAAUCAAUAUAUUAAAUCUAUUCACAAAUUUUACAGUAAUGUUGCAGAUACUAAGAUACACAAUGGAGGUGAGAGACUUUCCAUAAUAGAAGAACCAAAAUGCUUUCAUUCUUUUAACUCUGAUGCUUUACAUGGGUGCUAUAAAUUACAUGUACCUUCUGCAUUGUUAAAAUAAAUUUAUGAAUGUACUUUAGAACACUGUAUGGAGUCUUUGUUCACCUUUUCAUUGGAUUUGUUACAAUUACUCAUGUUUGAAAUAUCAUAGGAUACAAAUCACGCAUGAGUUAUAUUUCUUAAAAAAUUGAUAUUACAGUAUCGUAAACAUGUUCUUCCUCUAUACAAGCCCCGUAAAACAUGUUUAAGCAUGUAUCCACAUUGUACCUAUUCAGAUUCUUUAUUUAUAUCACCUAUUUUAUUUAUCUAGAAUCUCUGAAAUUUUAAGUGUGUGUAUGUGUGUGUGUAAACAUGUCUUAAAACUCCAACUGAAAGGAGGUAAUAUAAACAGUAAAGAUUUUUGAUAGUGUUUAUCUUUUACUUCUUUGAACCACAUUUUCAUUAUAUUUGAACACUUUUAAAAGCACAAGUUUCUCGAUACAAAGAACUCUAUAUAUGUGUAUAUCUACAAGUGCACAGAAACUUGAUUAUAUUUAAUAGCAAUGUUUAUACAACAAAUCAGAAACUACCUCGUUAUUAAAACAAUAUCACACACAGGUAUAUGUCUACAGACACCUGAUUUAAUACAAUCAUAAAUACUAUGUAAAUGAUGUUUCAUAAAUUUAGUUCUAAAAUAAUGUAAGGGAUGGUUGUUUAUUGGCUAUAGUGGUAUCAGAUAUAAGCUAUUUCAAAUGCAAUAUUUUAUGUUAUUGUAUCUAUGAAUUACACUAUAUGUUAACUUCUUUUUCGUAGAAGAAAGUUACCAAAGCUGAAUUCAGAAUGCAGUGAUGUUUAUUUUUUACUAAUCAUCGUGCAUUCUUUGAACCUUCCCUAUGUAACCUUCCUGCAUAUAAACUAUCUUUUCUGAGAAUAUCAUUGAUAAAAGCUUUUCUCUUACUCCAUAAAGGUGAGUAGAGAUUUAAGUGGAUGACUUUGUUUAUAUAAACUACUUUAUGCUGUCUAUGGAUAGAUGGAUGCCACUUUUUCUGCAUUUCUAUAUAAGCUGUCACAGAAUAAUAUUGUUUGGGGCUAUAAAAUAUGAUUUGGAAAAUCAGAUAAUACUAAGCUUAAAAUAAAAGGAGAGGUCUACGACAAAGAGCGAGAAAAUGAUGUGUGUUGUAUACAAAAAAAAGCAGUGAUAUUAACAAUUCGAUGGCUUCCUGGUUGGGAGACCAGCCUGAGCCAGACGCAUAUAUUAAGAGCUGUCUGCUGCCGAUGUGAGCUUGCUCAAUGCGGUGGAAAUGAGGAAUCACCUCCUCUCUGACACCAGCUUAUUUUCACAUUUUAAUUUUGAAAUAGCAAAUCACUGUUUUACAUAAAUACACUAACCCCCACUUGAUUCUUUUUCCUUUUUCACAUUGCUUGUUAAUUUACUAUGAACUUCCAGUUCCUUUUUUUUUUACAAUCAUUGCUCACUUUAAGCUUAUCAGCUAAAAUCUAUCAAAGACCAAUGAAGUAUUAGUUUUUUUUCUGUCUCUUUUGUAGUGCCCUGUGAAUAUUGUGAUACUCAUUCCUUUAACUUUUAAUCUCUGUAAGGAAAACAUCAAUUUUCCAAAAUGGCAUUUUUUUUUUUUUUACUCUUUUAGGGCCCAUCAAGGAAGCCACUUCUGGAAUUUUGCCAAAUCUAAAUAUGAUUAUAUUUCAUUUCAGGGUGCACAGGAUCAAUAUUUUUCUUAGCAUCAAAGUCUGCAACACUUUAGUGUUCCAGUGAAGCUAAAGAAGAGGUAUAUAGAAAUAUUCUUAAGCAUUAGUCUACAUUAAUAAUAUCUAGAAGAGGUAUAAGUAUCACAGGGGAAUUACAGUACAAGUUAAUUACUAACAAAAUUAGAAAAGGUGUAUACUACCUUACAUUGCUCUUCAAAUGGACACGCCUAGGCUUGGUGGAAUUCACCUGAUAAAGAUGUAAAUGGUUUUACAAGCUGUCCCGUUUGGAUGAGUUUUGAGAAAACAGUGCAUAAAGGGUUAGCUAACGCCCAAAUUUUCUUGCCAUUUACACAUGCAGUGCAGCCUACAUUUCGGCAGGCAGCAAAUGCAGGCAUCAUUUUGAUUACUUGGAUUCUUUUGUUUAAUUUCUUACUAGACAUUUAACUCGGUACUCAAAUUCCACUGGUCUCUUAGUGACUGUAUUUGGAAAAGGAAAACGAAGUUUCUCAUAUACAGAAGUUUUUAAAAAUCCCGGGCAUUUGUAAACAUUUAAAAAAUAAGACUUUUUAGUGUAGCUCUGCAAAUGCAUGUUUAGUAUGCAGAAACUUAGGUGCUAUUAUUAUCUGUCAUCUCCAUACUUAGUUUCCGAAUGAUCAGUGACCACAUACACACUGAGGCAUAUGUACCUAUAUAUUAUAUAUGCGUAUAUAUGUAUAUAUGUGUAUAUGUAUCUUCAAUUUUUAAAAAGCAUCAGUAAAAUCAGUAUAAAAAUUGAGACAUCUUCAUGAAAUCAUCCACAGCAUUUUUUCAAUGAGCUAGCUUCACCUUUCAUUCCUUUUUUCCCCAAAUCUCUCUAUGUCAAAUGUAGCUUUAUCAGAUGAAGUGCACCAAUAAUAUUAACUUGUAUGUAAUGUUUUACUUGUGGAGAUUUUAAAGUAGGAGGAACUUGAAAGGUAAUGAUAUUAAGGGAAUUUACGAUUAAAUAGUUUUAUUUUAUAUAAUCAGCUAAUUUCAUGCAUGUUUUAUGGGGAAUUUAAAAGUGAAAAAUUCUCAUAUGGUGAACAAAAGCUUUCACUGUUCACAUAAGUAAUGUGAUUUUAAGUUUGUUACCUUACUAGUUAAUUCCUAAACAAGUGUAUUAAUAAGCAUGGACUGUCUGUCUGUCUGUCUGUUAGGUCAACCAGAUAAGAAUAAUAACUUCCAGGUUUCAUCUUAGCCUUGUAAGCUAUUUUGGCUUCUUUUAUUUAGGUGGAUUUAACCAUUCCUUUUUUCUAAGAAGUUUCUCCCUCUCUGUUGGUAGGUGUCUGAUGCUUUCUGAGCACCAAGUGACUAUUCUAUGGAGUCAUCUUUCCUUGCCUUUGAAUGAGCUUUCCCUAGGCAAUGAGUCAACCUCAAUCUUUUGUACCUCCAAAUUGGUAGGUCUUUCUUGAAACCCUUCUAUUUAUUUUCCUAGACAUAUAAGGGAAUUGUGAGAAAUUAGAGAUUUACAUUGUGAUUAUCUUUCCAUUUUCCAAAAUCUUCAGUAAGAGAUUUGGGUCGUGUUGAAACAUGAGCCAGUGGAAGUAUUUGGUUCUGUAGGAUUUAAAAAUGUAACGUCUUUCUCAUAGUAGACUUUGUAUUCUUAGUGGGGAGAGGGGAACCAGGCUGUGGCUAAGUUAUCACUCUGUUACAUAUCACACUAGAAGCCCAGCCUGGGCAUUUGUAAACCUUGGGGAGGUUUCUACACUAGACAACAUUUUUUGUUGGGGGAUUACACCACAGUUGGUUCACUUCACUUCUGUCUCUCUUCCUGCCCCCACCCCCCCCCAACAUGGAGUCUUUUCAACUUCUUCAAAGAAGUGAGGGGAAAAAAGUAGACUCUUUAUUAAUGGCAGAAAACAAACUGGCUGCUGGACUUCCGAGACAGCCUUCUAAUAAUAAAGCAGAGUAGGCACUGCGACAAAGAAUUCUUGAAUGUACUAAAUAUAUAGGGAGGCCUAUUUAAAUUCACCAGAGGGGCUUAGAGGACAAGCAGCAGAAAGUUUAGAAUUUAAUUCAAGCCAUGCCAGAAAAUGAAAAUGUACUUAAAAAAGGAUUUCUGAGACAAUUGUUCAAAGACAUGUCAACUUUUAAGGUUCUUUCUAGAAUGAUGAAAUUCGUACUCUAAUUUCUGUGGUGACUUUUUCAAUUAGAAAGGAAAAAUGAUUAACAGGAUCUCAAAGGAAUUGUAUCUUAUGUUUAAAGAAAAUGUGUUUUCUUUCCAUAGGGUGUGCUCUAGUGAGGGCCACCCAGUGCUCUGACUAAAAUCACUUAAGUAUAUACAUGAAACAAAGAGAUAAUGUGUUUUUCAACGAUUAGACAUAUCACAACAGGAAGUGUGCUGGCUACUUUGGGAGAAAGAUAACGCAACUUGUAUGUUCUUUCUAGUUCACUUCCCCCCAUCCACUUCUAUGAUUUACAAUAUUGUAAAUAAAUGUAAUAAAGUAAUUCUGAAAGAGCAAAUUGCUGAUAAAUAAUAUGAUGCUAAAUUUGAAAGAUAAAAAAAAUGAUCCCUACCAUACCUCUUAUUGACUCUAGAGAAUGCUCUUUACCCUUUAUUUAUCUAUAAGACAUGUGCAUCUAUAAGGAGUACCCACAUCUAUAAGAAUAUAUACUUUAUUAGUCCUAAUGUUGAGCUAAAUAACUACUUAUAAAAUCCAUUUAAAAGUCAGUAUGGCCUACUCAGGGAUGAAAUUUCUAGCAGCCUCUUUCCUAACAUCUUCCUUUAGAAUU